GUGUAGGAUCGAUGCACUCCCACUGAAUGAACCGUCAGUGUCAACUAGGUUAUGGACGCACAAACGAGGCUGAUAAUUCAGGCAGCAGCACUGAUAAGUGUGAAUCAGGCAUGGGUCAUGUUCAUGCACCAGAGAGUUGUUCGUCGUGUUGGGAGACCUUUGAUCCGCUAUGGUCCAAUGUUUAUCCGGGAACAUGAGAGAAUCCAAAAUCUGAACUACAUCUACAACUGCAAUGACGUCGAGGCUCUGUGGAUGCUUUGAAUGAAAAGAGCACCAUUUGCCAGGCUUGUCGAGACCUUUAGGAGCAGGGGGCUGCUACAAGAUAACAUCAACACCAGUGUGGAAGAGCAAGUGUCCAUGUUCCUCCAUGUUGUUGGCCAUAACCAGAGGUUCAGGGUCAUUCACAACACGUUCAGGAGAUCAAUGGAGACCAUCUCUAGGUACUUCAAGCAGGUUUGUUGUUGGGGAGCAUAG
rnacentral:rRNA from 1 species